UGGCGGCGUGCUUAACACAUGCAAGUCGAGCGGUAAGGCCUUUCGGGGUACACGAGCGGCGAACGGGUGAGUAACACGUGGGUGAUCUGCCCUGCACUUCGGGAUAAUCCUGGGAAACUGGGUCUAAUACCGGAUAUGACCUCAGGUUGCAUGACUUGGGGUGGAAAGAUUUAUCGGUGCAGGAUGGGCCCGCGGCCUAUCAGCUUGUUGGUGGGGUAAUGGCCUACCAAGGCGACGACGGGUAGCCGACCUGAGAGGGUGACCGGCCACACUGGGACUGAGACACGGCCCAGACUCCUACGGGAGGCAGCAGUGGGGAAUAUUGCACAAUGGGCGAAAGCCUGAUGCAGCGACGCCGCGUGAGGGAUGACGGCCUUCGGGUUGUAAACCUCUUUCAGCAGGGACGAAGCGCAAGUGACGGUACCUGCAGAAGAAGCACCGGCUAACUACGUGCCAGCAGCCGCGGUAAUACGUAGGGUGCAAGCGUUGUCCGGAAUUACUGGGCGUAAAGAGUUCGUAGGCGGUUUGUCGCGUCGUUUGUGAAAACCAGCAGCUCAACUGCUGGCUUGCAGGCGAUACGGGCAGACUUGAGUACUGCA
rnacentral:rRNA from 1 species